rnacentral:pre_miRNA from 1 species
CUCAUACUCCCUCCGUCCCAAAAUUCUUGUCUUAGAUUUGUCUAUAUAUGAAUGUAUCUAGUCACGUUUUAGUAUUUAGAUACAUCCAUUUUUAGACAAACCUAAGACAAGAAUUUUGGGACAGAGGGAGUAUUAC